CCUCUGGAAACUCAGUCAGCAGAACAUGAGACUCUUAAUCUCAGGGUCAUGGGUUCGAGACCCAUGUUGGGGA